rnacentral:rRNA from 1 species
AUUGAACGCUGGCGGCAGUCCUAACACAUGCAAGUCGAGCGAGCGGCGGACGGGUGCGUAAUGUCUGGGGAUCUGCCCGAUAGAUGGGGAUAACUACUGGAAACGGUGGCUAAUCCCGCAUACUAUCGGCUGAACCCAUAUGGUAUUAGCUAGUAGGUGGGGUAAAGGCUCACCUAGGCGACGAUCCCUAGCUGGUCUGAGAGGAUGAUCAGCCACACUGGGACUGAGACACGGCCCAGACUCCUACGGGAGGCAGCAGUGGGGAAUAUUGCACAAUGGGCGCAAGCCUGAUGCAGCCAUGCCGCGUGUAUGAAGAAGGCCGUAGGGUUGGAAAGUACUUUCAGCGGGGAGGCGUUACCCGCAGAAGAAGCACCGGCUAACUCCGUGCCAGCAGCCGCGGUAAUAC